GUCCUGGUAGUAUAAAUAUUACCCUGGUCUUGUAAACCAGUAAUGAAAACCCCCCAUUUUCCCAGGAUA
rnacentral:tRNA from 1 species